GUACUUGCUUUGACAGCACACACAGUAAACAUUUGCAAUGUAACAGGGAAGAUUAACUGACCUGCUGCACAAAGAUGACACACACAUUUAUGAAGAUGAUUCUUUUUAU
rnacentral:snRNA from 1 species